CCCUGAAUUACUUUGGCAAGCUGUUCAGUCUCCUGUCACAGGGAGACAUCACUGGGAGGCUCGAGUUCUCUGGAAAGAGGGGGAAAGGUGCCCAGAUCAAACACACAGCUGCUGACAGCCUGUGCUGAUUUGGUUUUAAAACCGUAUGUUUUGCAUCUGCCUCGCCGUGGCUUUUGUAGGUGGGCUCAGUGCAUGGUAAAUCAGGAUAACAAACCUACGUUUACCAUGAUCCUUUCAUCUCCUAGGAUCCCAAAGCACAUCGUUUAAUUGCACUCAGCCUGCACAUGCGUUCCGUAAAUAAAGGAAUGAUGAAUUAGCACAGCUGCUGCAGCGUUCACACGAGCUCCUAAGGCACAAUCUCCUCGUGCGAUCAAUCCAGCCCCGUGCUUCGGUGUUUUGUCAUCAAUCGAGCUCAGGAAGAAAUGUUCUCCCUACCUGGAAUGCAGCGCUGCUGAACCAGCUGAGUGGAGGAAGACAUCCAGGAUGUGGCAAUCCGUCUCCUGUCCGUUCCAGGCUGCUGUAAAUAUCCACCCGGCGGCUCUCGGUGGGCGCUGAUCCCGCAUGGGGGCAGCGGGGAAGAGGUGUGGGGUCUGCAUGGAGGUUAUCCACCUUUGCUGGAGCUCAGUGCUGUUGCAGGGCUUGCUUGGGAGCGGUGAUUCCAGGCCACGUGCUUCCUCCUCACACCUCAGCUGCAAAAGCCCUUUUCCUGUGCUGAGCGUGAAGCAUUCCUUGCAGCUCUGCUGUUAAAAAGGAUGCUAAUUACCCCUAAUCAUCCUGCAGCAAAAACAGAGGGCACGGCUGCCACGGAGCCUGCUUAUUCCAGACUGACUGAUCAGAAGGGAUCACGGAGGGCACAGAUGUACCAAAUUCAGGAGUCCUGCCCGGGCUGAGGCUCCUCUUUGGAGCACCACCACUAAAUGGGACAGCGGGGAGGUGGGGAUGCAGCGCUGGUGGAUGCGGUCAGGUCGAGGAACUUUCCUUUUUAUUCCUCCCGGGAUAAAAGGAGGCUCUCAGAGCCUGCAUUUCCACUGCAGCGGCGGUGUGAUUUUCACCCCGUGUCCAGACAAGAAAGCACCUCUGUAGCCUCUCCCCGCGUCGGAGUGGGACAUAACAUCCGAAUCACUUCCAAAAGCUCUCCAUUAAACUGAUUUACUGUCGGCAGCUUUGGUACAUGGGGCUCUCAGAACCCUCUCCACGCCCCAUAGAGCCCCUCUCUGCCUGCAGGACCCCCUGCGUGCCACACCUCCACGCGCUGCUCCACCAUCCCCGCUGACACACACAGCCCCGCUGCUCCGGCGAGGUUAUAAUCCUCUCUUUGCAGAGGCAGACACGCGGGCCAGCUGGAGGCAGCCCAUUAAAGUGCCAUUUACUGGGCACAAGCGAAUUUGUGUUCCCCAGGACUGGGAUUUGCCAAGAUUAGACCAUAAAUUAGAGCGUUUCCUGGAAGAAAGUAAGGAGAGAAGAAGAAGAAGAAAAAUAUAUAUAUAUAUAUAUGAUAAAAUGGAACAUUUUGUAGCCAACGUGGAUGCCAAUAAAGGAACGUUUCAUUUUUUGCC
ensembl:lncRNA